UACGGAGGGUGCGAGCGUUGUCCGGAAUCACUGGGCGUAAAGGGCGCGUAGGUGGCCCGUUAAGUGGCUGGUGAAAUCCCGCGGCUCAACUGCGGGGCUGCCGGUCAGACUGGCGAGCUAGAGCACGGUAGGGGCAGAUGGGAUUCCCGGUGUAGCGGUGGAAUGCGUAGAGAUCGGGAAGAAUACCAGUGGCGAAGGCGUUCUGCUGGGCCGUUGCUGACACUGAGGCGCGACAGCGUGGGGAGCAAACAGG
rnacentral:rRNA from 1 species